GGAAAAGUUGAGAAAGAAAAGCUCGUGGACCUGUAUGCCAUGGAACUUUAGAAACAUAUGGUCUGAAGCGUAUGGCUGACUUUCGAGCUAGAGAGUCUACACCUUCACGAGACGGACGUCGUUUCAGUUUCUUGUUGACAGUUGUUGGCAUUUGAAUAUUACCCUCGGCUACUUUAGCCCAAGGAAGAAAUGAAAACACAGUCCAUUUCCAAAACUGAGCAUUUUGUUUAGGUGUUUGCAUUAGGGUGCUAGUAGAUGCAACUGUUGAU
rnacentral:misc_RNA from 1 species